rnacentral:rRNA from 1 species
UACGUAGGGGGCAAGCGUUAUCCGGAUUUACUGGGUGUAAAGGGAGCGUAGACGGAGCAGCAAGUCUGAUGUGAAAGCCCGGGGCUCAACCCCGGGACUGCAUUGGAAACUGUUGGACUAGAGUGCUGGAGAGGUAAGUGGAAUUCCUAGUGUAGCGGUGAAAUGCGUAGAUAUUAGGAGGAACACCAGUGGCGAAGGCGGCUUACUGGACGGUAACUGACGUUGAGGCUCGAAAGCGUGGGGAGCAAACAGG